UCAGAACAGCAGACAAAGUUAAACUCAGCGUCUCCCAUUAUCUUGCUGAAUCAGCGGAUAUGCCCAUAGAACUGCCAAAACGUUCAUCGGUGUGAAUGAGUUAUGAAUUGGACGAGACCCACAAAACUCCACAACAUCCGAUGAGCAAUAGAAGGAAAACGAUUCGACAAGUCGGGCUGCGCUGCGCCUUAGCAAUCCUUCUUAUCGCUCCGGCCCACUGAGGAAGUUCGGUAGAAAAAAGCUUUUCAUAGAGGUACUUUAACCUUCCUGGAAGCAGAGUUUUUGACCUUUCCGGGGAUAAUUACUAAAUUAAAGUAUCCACGGAGAGAGCGGGCGCAAUUCCGCUUGGUGGGGGAAUGCGUGUGCGCCUCGGGUUAGAAACACCAGUGGGCGACUGGCAGGAAGGCAACUACGGAGGAAUGCAGGUUUUCAUCUUUUCCUUUUUGGAGUGGUCCGUGCGGAGGUGCUCGACAUCAUUUGAAGGUAACUCAAAGGUAGGUAGCUUGAUCGACAGAAGUCGUCAAUAGGGCAAGUCAGUUGAGGGCUGGUUUGUGGAGUGGUGAGGAGUAUCUCUGUAGUUCCUUGGUACUUUGUGCAGCUCCUCCUUCCAAAGCUUGCCUUUUAAUGUCACAGUUGUAACAGCUUUCCUCACAAUCCUCAUGAACCUUUCAACUUCAGCGUUGGCUUGGGGCCAGUAAGGUGGGAUUUUCCGAUGGCGGAAACCUGUGAAGUUGGAGAACUCGACUUGAAACUUCCUUUAGUAUUCCCACAGUAGAGAACACUUUGUCCAUGAUGAGGAUAACUUUGCUUACAGAGGUUGAUGUUAUCUCCGCAAACGGGAUUCUUUAGUAUUCAGCCAGAAUGACUAUGAGAUAG
ensembl:lncRNA